CCGUUGCUUCUCCUUGAUUUCCUUUCUUCAGCAAAUGUAUGUAGUAAAGACUUGCUCCUUGAAUGUUCAUUCUUUCCAAAAUUAGUUGUGUACCAUUCUCUUCAGGAUCUUUGACUUUCCGUAAUGCUAUCCUUAAUUUGUGCCCUAACUUUAGGAGGAUCUUCGAUUGUCCAAAGUUAGUCGCGAGCUUGAUUCUCUUUAUCGAAGCUGAUUGAUAUUUUAUGCUGACUGAUUGGAUUUAUAGGAUUCUUCCAAGAUUCGCGAAUUCUUUCCCUAGUAGAACAGAUUUGCUGAUUUUAUUGUUGAGCCUUGAUUUAUUUCUUCCCUUAUAUGUCAGGAUUUACUCCAACAGUCUUGUAGUAUCCUCUUGACUCCAAAUAAUUGAUUUUCUGCAUAAACCUGCUCCUUGAAUGUUGGUUCUUUCCAAAAUUAGUCGCGUACCAUCUCUUCAGGAUCUUCGACUUUCUGAAAUGUUGUCCUUGAUUCAUGCCAUAACUUUAGGAGGAUCUUCGACUCUCCAAAGAUAGUCGCGAGCUUGAUUCUCUCAAUUGCAGCUGAUUGAUAUUUUAUGUUGAUUGAUCAGUUUGAUAGGAUUCUUCCGAGAUUCGCGAAUCCUUUCCUUAGAAAGCCAUAAUUGCUGAUCUUGUUCUUGAGCCUUGAUUUAUUUCUUUCCUUAUAUGUCCAGAUUUACUCCAGAAGUCUAGUAGUAAACUCUUGACUCCUUAUAAUUAAUCCUACAUAUGUAUAGUAUUUUCAUCAUUAAAACUAUAUCUAACAAUCUCCCUAGCCCCUUUUGGCCCUUUUCUAUGAUGACAAAAUAAUAUACAAUACUAAACACAAGUCAACUUCCCUUUAAGUUACUCCUUAUCAACGUAUGCUGCUGAAUGGUCCAUGAUGCUCCC
rnacentral:lncRNA from 1 species